UAUAGCAAUAGCUACUUGCAUCUUUGUAAGAUGAUGCAAGAUCGACUAUGUCGAAUAAAAUUCUAGGUAGAAUUAUGAUAAUGACAUUGUCUGCCUAUGUGUCUUGACCAAAUUACGUGCCAGCAGUCGCGGUAAUACGUAGAAGACUAGUGUUAUUCAUGUUUAAUCGGUUUAAAGGGUACCUAGACGGUAAAUCAAGCUUUCAAAGAAAUAGAGUUAAAGGACUAAUUUACUAGAGUUACUUAUGAGGGGGUAUUAAAGUACUGCUGGUGUAGAGAUGAAAUUCUGUCAUACCUCUUUUCAAAAGAAAAAUGAUGGCACAGGUAUAGGCGAAGGCAUCCCCUUAUGUGAUAACUGACGUUGAGGGACGAAGGCUUUGUGUAGCGAACAGGAUUACAUACCCCAGUAGUCGAAGCAGAAAAUGAUGAAUGUCAUAGAUUAGAGGUAAGUUUAUUCUACAAAUGAAAGUGUAAGCAUUCCACCUCAUGAGUAAUUUGGCAACAUUGGAACUGAAAUCAUUAGACCGUUUCUGAAACCAGUAGUGAAGUAUGUUGUUUAAUUUGAUGAUCCGCAAAAAACCUUACCACAAUUUGAAUAUUUAUAUUUUUUUUAUUGUUUUCUUCUUAAUUUUUUUCUAAGAAGAAAGUUAACACGGAGGCAAUAAGAUAUAUUUACAAGCGUUGCACGGCUGUCUUCAGUUAAUGUCGCGAGACUUUGGUUAGUUCCAUUAAAUUAACGUAGACCCUUACUUUAUUUUUAUAUAGAGUAGUUCUCCGCUAUAUUGGAUAUGAU
rnacentral:rRNA from 1 species